rnacentral:rRNA from 1 species
CUACGGGCCGCUGCAGUUAGGAAUAUUCUACAAUGCGCGCAAGCGUGAUAGAUUGAGUCGGAGUGCGCUUCAAUUUGAAGUGCUUUUGCCAAAUCUAAAAAGUUUGGCGAAUAAGGACUGGGUAAGACGAGUGCCAGCCGCCGCGGUAAUACUCGCGGUCCAAGUCGCAGCCAUUUUUAUUGGGUCUAAAACAUCCGUAGCUUGCUUCUUAAGUUCCUUGUGAAAUCCUAUAUCUUAAAUAUAGGGCGCGCAAGGAGUACUGGGAAGCUAGAGACUGGGAGACGUAAGAAGUACGUUCAAUGUAGCGGUUAAAUGUGUUAAUCUUGAACGGACUAACAACAGCGAAGGCAUCUUACGAGAACAGUUCUGACAGUCAGGGAUGAAGGCUAGGGGCGCAAAACGGAUUAGAUACCCGAGUAGUC